UACGUAGGGGGCAAGCGUUGUCCGGAUUCAUUGGGCGUAAAGAGCGUGUAGGCGGCCAGGUAGGUCGGUUGUGAAAACUGGAGGCUCAACCUUCAGAGGUCGACCGAAACCAUCUGGCUAGAGUCCGGAAGAGGAGAGUGGAAUUCCUGGUGUAGCGGUGAAAUGCGCAGAUAUCUGGAGGAACACCGGUGGCGAAGGCGGCAUCCUGGACCGGUAUUGACGCUGAGGCGCGAAAGCCAGGGGAGCAAGCAGGG
rnacentral:rRNA from 1 species